rnacentral:misc_RNA from 1 species
GUGAAUCAUCAAAUUUUUGAACGCAAAUUGCACUCUCCGGUUUUCCGGGAGAGUAUGCCUGUUUUAGGGUCAGCCUAAAAAAAAUCGACAUUGUUGCUGUUAUUUAAUGGUUACUUUCGUCGGAGAUUGGGUUAUCUUAAACCUUUUUUUUUUUGUUUAAGCUCCUUAAAUUUUUUCUUCACGUUUCCCUUCACGUUUCUACUUUUUUUUUUUCUUCUCCUUUUCAGUUUUCUCUCUCUUUUAUUCUCCGUUCCCUUCGCCUCG